GCGAACCGAAGCACUUGACCCCUUCGGAGCCGCUUCGGUCCGACGGACAGCAUUCCCCCUCCCAGGCUGUCGGUCACUCUCGAAGCCCGGCGCCCCUCUCCCGCGCCGGGCUUUCGUU
rnacentral:sRNA from 2 species